rnacentral:lncRNA from 1 species
CUAACAAAAAUUAAAUCGAACAUUAAAAGAUUGAUUGCCAAACAUUACACAAAACCAUAACAUUAACAGGUUAUUGAAACAGUGGUUAAAACUUACCUAUGACCAAUGAAAAUGCUUCUACUGUAAGUGGUUUCUCAGGUAAACCUACCAAAACCAUCUUGCCAUGUGGCUUUAAAAGCGCAAGGAGUGGUGGAAUUGGGUGAUCACCUGAGACUGUGUCAAUUAUACCAUCCAUUGUCCACAUUGCCUCCUGUAUUUGGUAUCAAACCAGAGCAUUUCAUUUCUUCAGUUUAGUUUAUCAAUUUAUAUUCACAUUUUGACAUAAUUGUUAUGUUUAAUGUUGUUAAGUUAGAUUGGAUCUUGAUUCUUGGGAAAGAAAAGACCCGACAAAAUAUACCUUCAUCUUCUCAGCAUUUUUGCUGACUAGGAAAGAAUCAGCACCCAAAAGUGUGAUGGCUUCAGUUUCUUUGCUUGGAGAUGUGCUGAUCACUGUAACUUUCAAACCAAGGGCUUUUGCAAACUUUACAGCUACAUGCCCAAGGCCACCUAGACCAACCAC